rnacentral:rRNA from 1 species
UUCAGACGAUGCGUCAUGCAUAUCAAUAAGCGGAGGAAAAGGGUAUGCUCAGAGGAGUAGUCACGUCCGUGACCUUCCUCGGAGUUCACUAUGAGAUGAUUGUGGACAUCGACGGCUUCAAAUGGAUGAUCCAGACGACAGAUUUCGUGGAUGUAGACGAACAUAUCGGGCUUUACAUCGAGCCGGAUGCCAUACACAUUAUGAAAAAGUCCGAGUAUUCCGGCAUGUUCGGCGAUUAUUCUUCUUUCUCAAACGAACACGAUGAGCUUAGUAAUGCGGAAAGCGUGGACGAGGAAUGAACAGAGGAAUAAAAAAACAGGGGGCACUUGGCAGGCUGAUGUGUCUGGCGCCUUAUUCUGUCUGGUCUGUGCUGUUUAUUAUCGUACCCCUGAUAUUUGUGGGCUAUUACGCUCUUACAGACAACAAUUUUGCAUUUACGACCGAAAACAUCACAAAAUUCUUUACCACGACUUCACAGAUUGCUGACGGGGAAGCCAUGCGUGAGGUACAUACGUAUCUUCUGAUUUUCUGGCGUUCCCUGAAGCUUGCGAUCAUAUCCACGGCUAUCUGUUUGCUGAUGGGUUACCCGAUGGCGUAUAUAAUCUCCCGUGCCGACAGCAGGGUUCAGAGUAUUCUUAUCACUCUGAUAAUGAUUCCCCAUGUGGAUGAACUUUCCUUAUGCCGUACCUACGCUUAGGAUGUUGAUCUACAGAGCGAGAGU